AUUUUUGCUUUUGUUUCUUUUGCCUUCGUGGAUGUAUCUUGCAAGAAGUUACUAUGGCCGAGUUCAAAAAGGGUGUUGCCUGUGUUGGUCUCUAGGAUUUUGAUGGAAUCUUGUCUCAACGUAUGCAGUGUUUGUGGUGCACAGCCGCGUUGUAGCGUGUGUGAGCACUGCAUUCCUUUUUAUGGCAAAGGCACUCUGUCAUGUGGAUACAUCACAGCUUGCUGGACCUUUGGGUUGUUUCCACCUAUUGGCUUACGGUGACUAGUGCUGCUUUGAAUAUUUGCUUUUGUGUGGACAUGUUUCCAUUUCUCUUGGGUUGGCAUGUGUGAAUGCUGGGUCAUAGAGUAACUGUUUACUGUUUAGUGAGGCCACUUCUUUUCUCUACAGUGCAGAAUGGCACCAUUUCAUAUUCACAGUCCUGCCAGCCAGGCAAACUAGUUUGGAUUCUCCACAUCUUUGCCAACACUCAUUAUUAGCCUUGUUUGGAUGAUGGCCAUCCUUGUGGGUGUGAAAUACUGUCUCGUCAUGGUUUUGAUUUGCAUUUCCCUAAUGACUUGUGAUGUUGAACAUCUUUCUGUUUGCUCAUCGGCCGUUUGCAUGUCUUCUUUGGAGAGAUGUUUGUUCAGACUCGUUGCCUGUGUUUUAAUUAGGUCACCCAUUUUUUUCAUUGUUGUUGAGUUUGUGUUCUGUCUGUGUUCUAGAUGGUAGGUCCUUAUUAGAUGUAUCAUUUGCAGGUAUUUUUCCCUGCAGGUUGCCUUUUCACUCUCUUGAUUUACCUUCGAAGUACAAAAGUUUUUAAUUUUGAUGAAAUCCAAUUUUCUUUUUUUCUUAGGUUGCUGUGCUUUAGGUCAGAUGGUCACAUCUAAGAAACUGUUGCCGAAUCCAGUGUCCAAAGACUUACCUAUGUUUUCUUUGAAGAGAUUUAUGGUUUAGCUCAUACAUUUGGGGCCUUGAUCUAUUUUGAGUUAGUUUUGUAAGUUUCAUAUAUGGCGUGAGAUACAUGUAUAUGGUGUUCUUUUGCAUGUGGAUAUCCAGUUGUUCCACAUAACAGUUAUAGAAAUGGAGAACGGACUGGUGGUUGCCAGGGGUUCAGGGGUGGGGAUGAGGGUAGGUGGGAGGGAAGUAGGUGCCACCACCCAAGGACAACAUGAAGCAUUCUGUGGUGAUGGAAACAUCCCGUAUCUUGACUUUAUUGAUCUUCUGGUUGUGAUAUGCUACAGUUUUGCAAGAUGUUACUAAUUGGGGCAAACUGGAUGAGGGAUAACAUGGGGUCUCUCUGUAUUAUUUCUUGAAAAGCCACCCUGGCUGAAGCAAGUUGAAUGAAGUCCUGCCCAGAGACAGCAGGAAUGACGCUGGGAUGGGAGUGCCUAAGCCUGCCGAGCAGCGACACUGGGCUGGCCCAGCCUGGGUACUCCUGCCUGUGCGUGUUGUCCUGAAGCUGGACAUGAGGAACCACGAGAGGGCACUGUCCAAAAGUCUCUCGCCUGGAAAUGCUGGAGAAGCCAGAGGAGAAGCCUGUCUGCUGCCCACCCGGGGACCAAGGACACCAAGCCAUCAGAGAAAACAUCCUUUGAAAAAAUGUGCUGGAGAAUGUGGCCAAGCCACUGCCAUGCAUCAAAGCAGCCACACCCAACUGACAAGGAAACUGAAGAGCUCCUCAGCCUUUAUCAGGAAGGAAUUCUCUCCACCCGUCCUGGGGCUCUGGCCCUUGUCCUCAUCCUUAUCCUAGACUUCUGUCCUAGCCUGGUGAUUGGGGAGGUGGGACAAUAAGCCUUCCAGUACUGUGGGACAUGCAUGCAGAGUGGGGGGUGGGGGUGGGGAGCCUAGGGGACAAUGGGACAUGCCUAGGGCAAGGUCUCAGGAGGCAGGAACACUGAAAUGGGGGAACAGAAGCACUCAGCAAGCAGGGCAGAAUGAGCAGAGGGAAAAACAACUCCUGGGAAUGUGUCUGGCUCUUUAGAAUGCAAAUGAAGGGCCUGAACUAAAGAUGAGCAUUGGAUUUCUAAGACAUUAAAGGAUCCUAUAACAGAAUCUCUUUCAACCUGAGGUAAAUCCCCUGAAUUCCCUUUCCAGAGGUCUUUUACAGUCCACUGAGAGCUGUUCCUUUGCUGUAAACCCAUUUCUCCUGGCUUCUGGAACAAUGGUCAGCUUCCUGUGUGUGAUGAGUUCUUCCUAGCCAUGGACAGAGCAGAACCUACAGGUUGUUUCAGGGGGUGGGAUGACUGGCUUUCCCAUCUGGUGAGUACAUGGCUGGUCCCUCAUGAGAAUGGUGGCCUGGCUAAUGGCUCACUCCCAGGGGACCAUGUAGAGCAGUCAUGUGCUCCGGGAGGUGCAGUUAGCCAGGAGAUCCCAGGGGGUGGUGGUGACAUAGUGCUCCUCAGCCAAGAACUGCAGCGUUCUGAAGAGAGCUGUCUUGGUUCUCUCAAUGGCUGCAGAAUCCAAGGAACAAAUGCCACUGCUCGACAGUGGGCCACGCUGGGGGAGCGGGCCAAGGGGUGGGAUGGGGAGUGCAGCAUCCAGGCUUUGGAAAACACUGAUUGGAGACCUCGCAUCCAGAGUGUGAAGGGUUCCUUUAAGGGGUGAGUGUUUCUGGUUGAGGGUUGUCCCCCCCCCCCCCCCAUUCAACACUGUAUCUACUUUAUUAUUCAUUACUCAUUCAGUGGUCAUCUCCAUCUUCAGGUGUCAGAGAGAAGGACUCGGACAUUUUUGGGGGCCAGUAUUCUGACUGCAGUUCCCUUGAAUAGCAUAUUAACUUAUGUGGAUCUUCUGGAAGGUUCCUACACUUCAAGCCAGGCCUUCAUCUGUGGCUGUACCUCCGAUGAGGGAGGCUGGGCAUGCAGAUUUCCUUUUCAGCAGUGAUGCCCCCUGCUUUACUCUGGGCUCAGAGGAGACCACUUGCCAUGUCAUCAUGCCUGUUUUAUAGAAGGGGCAGCUGAGCCUCAGAGAGGCUGAGUUCUCCUUGGUCACCCAGCUGGUAAGAGGCAGAGCCAUAAUUCAGUAACUGAGCUGCACUGUUUCUCCUUUGUGUCAGAUGUGCAGCAACCCGGCUGGGUUAGAUCCAUGUCACGUGAGGAGUGUCAAGCUCAGAGAGGUGUAGUGACUUGUUUGGGGUUCUACAGCUGUAAUUGCAGAGCUGAGAUUCAAAGCCAUUCCAUCUGACCCCGGUUCCCCUAACAUGGCCCUGUGGGUCCUAGUUCCAGGAAGCCCAUAUGGGUGAAUUUUGCAACUAAUAGCCUGUUUCCCACACCCCAGAUAUCUAAUAACACUGUGCUGGGCUCUUGCCAGGCAGCUGUGAGGGAUUUCCACUCGUACAGCCCUUGCCUGGGGUUGUGUCUCCAUCAUAGAUGGAAGAUGUGCUACACGGUUCCUGAUAAUACUGGCUGGGAUUAACCUUCUCUGCCAGCUGGACCAAGUUUACCAAGUCAGUACCUUGUACGGUGCUUAACACAGAGCUUGGCUCACAUGGCGUACUCGGUAGGUGUUGUGUUAAAUAAAUGAGUAUAUUCAUGAAUUACAGAGCUCCAGCUAUGUGUCAGGACACAUCACACUCUUAUUUGGAAAUGACCUGUUGAUGGGGCCAGAUGCCUCAGACCCGAGUGCUUGUGUGGCCUUGGGAGGUCAGCUUGCAUCUGGGGGACUUGGGAAGGGUCUUGUGGGGGUCUGGUGUCCUGCCUGCCCACAUUAUCCCACCUAGCACCUGCUCCAGCCUCCUCUCUGGCUUCCUGGGACUUAUGGGCCCAUCUGGGAUUACCUAGGAGAAGGUGAGAGCCCUGAUGGCUUGGUAUGGUUGCUGUGGCUGGGUGGAGGCCCCAGCUGUCUGCCCAGCCCACCUCCAGUCCUGGGUGAGCUUCCUGCCUGGCUCUACUCUCAGAGAGCUCUGGGUACCCGUGUGCUGAGAACCUGGGAGUUGGCAGGGGCUAUGGGGACACCUAGUCUGACCACCUCAUUCAUAGAUGGGAUACUGAGACCCAGAAAGGGCAGUGCCACAUCCAAAGCCACACGGCAAAUUGGUGGCAGAUGCAGGACUUAAAUUUAGCUCUCUUGCAUCCAAUGCAGGUCACCUCUCUCUCAAGAAACUCCCUGCCUCCAGGUGUCUCCAAUUCACUUCUUUUCUAUGGAGGAGCUCCUUAGGCAUGGUGUCCUCCCAAUCCUUUCCAUUAUAGGAAUGGCCAUUGGGUUUAGUUUCACAUGGGGUCAGUCUUGUGGCCAGGGCCCUGCAGCCACACAGAAGUCCUGUAGGCCCUUGAUGAGAGAGCUCUGCAGUCAGUGAGGCAUGUCAGCCAUGGCCCAGGUGGGGCCAUGGGUCCUCGUGGGUCCUCGUGGGUCCUCGUGGGUUUUUGUGCCAUCCGGCAGCUCUCCCUGUGUUUGAUGCACAGUAGAUGUUUCAUAAGCCCUUGUUGAUUUUGAGGGAUCCACUGUUUUCUCUGCUGGGUGCCCUGCUGUGGGGUCUGGGGGCCUUAGGAGUCAUGGGGAACUGCCUGAUUUCACUUUUGCCAUUUCCAAGAGAGCAGCUCUGUCUGAGGGCACCAUUUUUAUGUUAAAACAACAAACCUCAGGGUUGAUCCAUGAGCAGUGGAAGGUGGUGGCAUUCCAGAGGAGGCCAAGUCUGGCAUUCCAGAGUUUGGGGAAUUUUGUUGUCUCAGCACCAGCAGAGCAAGUGUAUCCUUUCCAGACAUCCCACAUCUGAAGGGGGGAAAUUCCAGAAAUUGCAGCAUACCCACUCCCUGUUCACAGGUAGGGAGCACGGCGGGGCUGGGAGCCUGGGCUGCCUCUGAGCUGCCUGGGUUUGCCUCUCACUUGCCAACGGUGUGGGCUUUGUGGGGGGUCGAGGUAUCUGGGCUCCGAGGUGCUUUCUAGGUGGGGCAGGUAGUCUCAGGGGUGCACAUCCUGUGCUCUUGCCUGUGUGUGC